rnacentral:rRNA from 1 species
GACGUAGGGCGCGAGCGUUGUCCGGAUUUAUUGGGCGUAAAGAGCUCGUAGGCGGUGUGUCGCGUCGGCCGUGAAAACCUGCAGCUUAACUGUGGGCUUGCGGUCGAUACGGGCAUCACUGGAGUUCGGCAGGGGAGACUGGAAUUCCUGGUGUAGCGGUGAAAUGCGCAGAUAUCAGGAGGAACACCGGUGGCGAAGGCGGGUCUCUGGGCCGUAACUGACGCUGGAGGAGCGAAAGCCAUGGGGAGCGAACAGG